CGCACGCUGGCGGCGUGCUUAACACAUGCAAGUCGAACGGAAAGGCCCUGCUUUUGUGGGGUGCUCGAGUGGCGAACGGGUGAGUAACACGUGAGUAACCUGCCCUUGACUUUGGGAUAACUUCAGGAAACUGGGGCUAAUACCGGAUAGGAGCUCCUGCUGCAUGGUGGGGGUUGGAAAGUUUCGGCGGUUGGGGAUGGACUCGCGGCUUAUCAGCUUGUUGGUGGGGUAGUGGCUUACCAAGGCUUUGACGGGUAGCCGGCCUGAGAGGGUGACCGGCCACAUUGGGACUGAGAUACGGCCCAGACUCCUACGGGAGGCAGCAGUGGGGAAUAUUGCACAAUGGGCGGAAGCCUGAUGCAGCAACGCCGCGUGCGGGAUGACGGCCUUCGGGUUGUAAACCGCUUUCGCCUGUGACGAAGCGUGAGUGACGGUAAUGGGUAAAGAAGCACCGGCUAACUACGUG
rnacentral:rRNA from 1 species